UACGGGGGGAGCAAACGUUGUUCGGAUUUACUGGGCGUAAAGGGCGCGUAGGCGGCCACCGCAAGUCAAUUGUGAAAUCUCCGGGCUCAACCCGGAAAGGUCAACUGAUACUGUGCGGCUAGAGUGCGGAAGGGGCAACUGGAAUUCUUGGUGUAGCGGUGAAAUGCGUAGAUAUCAAGAGGAACACCUGCGGCGAAGGCGGGUUGCUGGGCCGACACUGACGCUGAGGCGCGAAAGCCAGGGGAGCGAACGGG
rnacentral:rRNA from 1 species